ensembl:lncRNA
AUCUAAAAGGUACCUUUUCUUCCCCACAGCUCUAAGUCUUGCCUGACUGUAUGAAAAAUGCAAAGCUUGAACAAGGUGAAUUCAUAAUCUUCUUUGAAAAACUUAAACAUGCUACCCCCUAACUCUAGUUUUAUAGGUUUCUUUCCUCUGUUCCGUUUCUGUUCAGCUAUUAAGUUAAGCUAGCCAUAACUUCCUAUUUGUCUAGUACUGAAUAUACAGACUUCAAAGUUGAUACGUCCUCCUGUGUUUAUAAAACUUUUUGCCAUGUCACUGUUUUUAUAGGAAUCCUUCCAAUGAUUACAGAUAAUUUUUCUAUCAACAAGGUCUACCAUCGGUCUUGAAAUUCAAUAUGCAGAUAAAAAAGCAAAUCCAGAUUUCUGAGUAACAUGAGUGUUUCGAGGUGCUAGGAUUCAAAAUGCAGUAGUGAUGAAUUCAUUCUCCCUCUAAUCACUGUAAGAUCAGAAUUUGGGAUGUCACGUUAAUCAUCCCCACAAAAAUCCCAUCUUAAAAUGUACUUAUUUAAAGCCAGGAUCUUGAUCAAAACAUACUCUCAGGUUACAAUAAGGGCCUAUAACAGGGCACAGACAGACUGCCUAGGUGUAAUGAGGCUGAUGGAUGAAUAACAAUAUUGCUAUUCAUACAUGCAGACCCUGCCAUAUCUGACCUAUCUGCUGUUAAAACUGCAAAUGUGUACCAAGGGAUGGUAGAUUAUUUUUUCCUUUGUGUUAUUCAGAGAGAGACAUUCAUUUAACUUCACUUGCAGGCACCAGAUCUAUGCUUACUUGUGAUGAGCAAAAACCUGAGGCUAAUUUUUGACUGGCUUAGGACAUUUUGCAAACUCAGUAUAAUAGACAACUGUGAAAUUGUAUUCACUGAAAUAAAUAUGCCUAACAAUGAAACUUUAAAAGGAAUUUCUCCAUUAACAAAUUGUACAAAGACUAGAUUUUAGCCAAAUAUUAUAAAUGAGGAAGAAAUAAUGUCGGCAUAUAUAUAUAUAUUUCUAUAAAACAAUAUCUGGUUUACCCUUGGAAAUUCACAAUUAGAGUACUGUAUCUACCACCAUUUACUGUUUGAAAGUGCUAGAGCACUGUACUUUACUGCUAUACUAGACUUUUCCAUUUUCAGCAGCUCUGUAUCUGAAAGCCUGCUACAGCCACUUACUGAAUAAACAUAUUUGAUUCUUCUACAUAGUUUGAGUCCGAUUUGCUAAUUGCAGUGAUGAUUCUGUAUUUUGUACAGAAGAGGGAGAGCUGGAUUUUUUUUUUAGAAUUGAAUUUGUAUCUGUUUGUCACAGAAAAAUACAAAAUACUUGCACACAUUUGACCUCCAGAGGUCCCUUCCAACUUCAGCCAUUCAGUGCGCACAUGUUCUCAUGUAAGAAACUUCCUGAUCCAGUUAGUGCAUGUGAUUCUACUCUUAUGGGGAAUCUUUGAAUGACUAACAGCAUGCAAACUGCAAUGAGAGAAGACACUGACGCAUUCCUGACUUACGUAGGGUGCUCUGCUGGGACCGAGCUUUUUUCAGAUGCUCACCGUGAUUUUCCUGAUGAUCUUUCUCAGAACCCAGAAUUUUCCAGAGCUGGAGUAAAGCAUAACCUUUAGGGCUCUACUGACCAUGUUACUGCACCUUCACUGGCAUCUUCUGCAGUUCUGUACAGCAAGUAACACUCUAUAUGACUACACCUCUCAUUUUUCUGGAGAACUGAGGUAUUUUUUCUCCACCUAGAGUGCAAUUACUGAGAUACAAUAUCCUCCCUGGCAAUAUUUGCUGUUGAAUAGGAUUCAUUAAGGCAGUCAAAAUCCACAUCCUACAGUCAACUUCAAAACAACUUUAACAAAUGGACAGAAAGCAAUCUCCUCAGUAAGCUCAUGACAGUCUAUAUAUACCACACGACUAUGUUAAUCAGAGUACGUGAAAUGCAGAAAAUUUUCAAGAUGACUUACACAUCUCUGCACUUACCUACCUAAUUUAUACUGUUCAAUUUUCAGCAUUUCUGCUGGAGGGAGCUACAAAAUAAAAUUUAAAGCAAGCUGACUAUUAUAAACUGAAGGGCCCUCCAGAAUAUUUUUUCUUUUAGUUUAAAAUGGAGGUAAAAAAACCCUGCUGCUAGAUAUACCUGAUACAUUCAAAGUAGUUCACUAAAAUUAGCCUUGGCAUUUCACUUAUUAAAGCUACAUGCAACCACUAGACUAGACUGCCCAGAGCCACAUCCAGCCUGGCCUUCAAUGCCUCCAGGGAUGGGGCAUCCACAACCUCCUUGGGCAACCUGUUCCAGUGCAUCACCACCCUCUGUGUGAAAAACUUCCUCCUAAUAUCCUAAACCUCCCCUGUCUCAGUUUAAAACCAUUCCCCCUUGUCCUAUCACUAUCCACCCUAGUAAACAGCUGUUCCCCCUCGUGUUUAUACACUCCCUUGUAUUGGAGAGUAUUGGAAGGCCACAAUGAGGUCUCCCCGAAAUCUUCUCUUUUCCAAGCUAAACAAGCCCAGUUCCCUCAACCAUUCCUCAUAGGAGAGGUGCUCCAGCCAUCUGAUCAUCUUAGUGGUCCACCUCUGGACCCACUCCAAGAUCUUCAUGUCCUUGUGCUGGGGGCCUCAGGCCUGGAUGCACUAUUCCAGAUGGGGCCUCACAAGACCUGAGUAGAGUGGGACAAUCAUCUCCUCCUCCCUGCUGGCCAGCCCUUCUUUAAUGCAGCCCAGAACACAGUUGGCUUUCCAGGCUGCACGCACAUGCUGCUGGCUCACAUCCAGCUUCUCGUCCACCAGGACCCCCAGGUCCUUCUCCACAGGCUUUUCUGCUGUCAUAUUGCUUAAACUUGCUUUUUCAUACCACCUCCCCAGUGUUUUGCAGCAAGCAGCUACAGUCAUCCACUCCAUCCAUAUGUAACGACAGACUCUGCUGAUCAGCACACAAUGAAAUUGCAGCACAAUGAGCCAAGCAAACAGCUUUGUGAGUGCAUGUGUCAGGUCAAAUGUUGCACCGGCUUCAUUUACCCAAAUAAUUUCAAGUUCACAGGUAGUUUAUUGGCUAAGUAUUCAGCAUCCACUCUCACGGGACUGGUCACCCAAGCUAGAGGGAAUUUUACACAAACAUUAAACAAUGCAAUAACAAAAAAGUGAACACAAAAUAACAGCUAGUGUAUUAAACUUCUAGUAAGAAGUUCUGUAAAAGAUCAGAUAAAAUACAGCCACUACAAAAACAUUCCCAAAAGUGGAGUCAUUCACCUUUAAGUUUGCAGAUAUCUAAUAAAAAGCAAUAUAAACAUGGUUUGUAUUAAUUAUUCCUGGAAAAUAGAAAAAUGUUUAUUCUUAUUUCUUCCACAUUCAGUUUGUUGCCUAGUGCACCCUGAUCUAGUAUCUAGGAAGGCAUUUAAGCAUAUAAUAAACUUCUAUUUAAUGGAAAAAAAACACAACCACAUACGAUGUGCAUUUAAAAAAAUAAUAUACAAGGCAGCUAUGGCACAACUCUCCCAUCCUAAAUAGUACUGCUGCAGAUACAGUUCAUAUAAUUAUCUCAUUCUUAAACUGAUAACUGGACACAACAAACAGCUUUCUGUAUUGGGAAAAUAGAAAAAGUGGCUAAUUUUCAACCAUUAGUUUGUACAGAGACAUUUUACUUCUCUGAAAUAAAGUAAAUGAAGUAACGUAUUGAAGUAAAGCUUUUACUUACGAAGUAAACGCAGACUGUCAAAAAAAAAAUACUUGCAUGUUUUUAUUUGCAUAGAACAUCAAUUGAUAAUUCAAGCUGAAAGCUGGCACAGUAUUCUUCUCUACUGUUAAUAGAAAAAUAACUGGCUUGGUAUGAUUUGCAGACAUAAUCUGUGAUUUCCUUCAUAUGUACACUUCUCAGUAUAGCUUCAUUACUGUGGAACCCACAUGUUGCAUGCUCUCAAAAGUAUUCAUCUUCACAGAAAAAUAUGAGGUACAAACACGCUAACAAUUUUGUCUUGAACUACAGGCUCCCAAAUUCAGAAAUGAAGUUCCUUUGCUAAAGCUCACACAGGAAUGUUCUCAUAAAGCAACCUCAGACUGCCUCAGACUUACCUCUUCAGAUCUCUUUCUCCUGAUGUGCUAUAGCAACGCAGCUAUUUGGGCAAACGUCUGCUGGCCCCUUCUUCCCCACACUGCCCACAUUGCUCAGGCAGAGCCCCACCACAGUCACCGGCCACUGUGUGUCUCUGACACAGUACGUGCUACUCAGUUAGGAAAAUAAUGAUGGUAUCCUUCCAAUAAAAUUUAGGUUUCAGCUUUGAGUCUAGAUGAUGAUGAUUAUUAUUAAGGAUUAGAACUUGUAUAAGAAAGGUUCAUCAGUUAUAUAGAGGAGUGAAUACCGCAGAGAGAGAGUUGCUGACUUUAAUGGAUAAAUGUUAUCAAAGUCUUAACAUAUUUUUCACAUUCUAUAAAAAUAGUUUUUCCUGAAAUUUCCUUACUCCCCCUCUUAUAAAACAGAUGAUGUGCUGAAAACAACAGCAUGCCUUUGUUCGGGCUACAGAAUUUGGGUAGUAGUUUUGUCACAACAUGGGUUUCACACACUUAAACUUAUGUAGUUUCUCAGAAGUACAUGCCAGAAUGAUUUUACGCUGCACUAUCACUCAGUGUGAAUGCUCAUCUUUUGCCCAAGGUCAAGGCAAGAGAAUAUUCUUUCCCAUGGGAGCAUCUGCAAACUGAGAAAAUGUAACACAGUUCAACUGUAGAUUUACACUCCAGCCUAAGGCACUGUAAUAAGCUUAUGACAACAAGACUUACAUUUAAAUGACUAGCUUUUUACAGUUACAAUGCAGCAGCCAAACACAGUGCUGUGAGUAAAUUAAAGUUUGCAGUGGCGAGGUUUGAUUAAUCACUGAAAAUACCUGUCCCUAAAUGAGGGAUACAUCAAACAUAUCAUUUAGAAAUAGCAUUAAACAAGAAGGCUAUGCAUCUAGACUAAUAAAUUAAACAAUGUCUAGGAAACUCCCAUCUACUGGAAUACUGUUUAUUCAUGUAACUUGACUGUUACUUAGAAGUUAGAGCCUUCUAGGAGCUGUUCCCAAUAGGUAGAACACAACAUAAGCAUAAACAAGGAUUAUUCCAGCUAAGUCUCAGAAGUUGCAAUAUUCCUGUGCUAAGUUUAAUUCAUUAGUAUAGACAUAACUUAAGUGUGCCAACUUUGGAAAGUAAGAUUUCUUUAGUUUCAAUAAUUUAUUUUUUUUUUUAAUAUUCUGCUCUUGUGGAAAUAAUAGCCCUCUAAAUAGCUACCAACUAAUGGGACUUUCAUUUCUUCUUUUCUCCUGAAAAAGACAUAAGAAAAGAGAAACAGGAAAAUAUUACUGGAAAAUUAGUAGGCUCAAUAUACACCAGUUAAUACAUAACACAUCAAAUACUCAGUAAAGGCCAAAAAUACCAGUGAUUAAGUUUCCCAUAGUCUGAAAUAGGUAUUGAUGAGCAAAGAGUUUAUAAGGCUUGGGGCUCUGCAGCAGUUUGACCUUUCCCUUGUUACACUACGUUGAAUGCAUACCAGCUCAGAUGGCGUACAACAAUCUCCCUGGUUUUAAUGCUUCCCCCAGUUUUAAUACUUUACCUAAAGGAACUGACCGAGACUCUUUUGGUGACAGGGCUUUCUUGUCAACUGAUAUUCCAUAUUAUUUUGGAGUGUUUUGAAAUGCUCAUUGGAAAAAGGAAAACUGCUGGGUUGGAGUCCCAUAGCAUGGGACUUCUCCCACGCAGGUACACAGACCAACUCAUCCCACAACAGCUCUCCCACUGUCAUUGCAAUGCCCUUUUAAAUGGCAACUCACAUCGGUUCUCAUGUCUUGAUGUUCUUAAGGUCACCUAAGCUUCACCAGAUGGGGCAGCAGGAGUAACGUCAAAUGAAUCUCGCUGUUCAAGAAACACAAUUAUGUUAUUAUCACAGUAGCAUGCAUCUAAGCACCACAAACACAAGAUCAGUAACUUCAAUGUAUUGUUAGCAAUAGUUGUUCUUAUAUUCUUUCCUUAUAUUAACUUGUUUUAAUAAUGCAGUAGCAUACGUUUGCACCUUAAGUGCUACUGUAUUAUUAUUCUUAUUAGAUAAAUUAUGUAAUAUUUUGUUAGCAAUUAUUUGCUUAUGACAGAUAAGACUACGGCUACAACAGUAUCCAAAGUAGCUCAGUCAGAUAAAACUCGCUCAAAC